rnacentral:rRNA from 1 species
UUGACCUCGGAUCAGGUAGGAGUUACCCGCUGAAC